UGGAAUCGCUACUAAGACAUUUGUUUGCAUCAGCCUUGUUUUGGUACCUUAAAAAAUUAUAGUCAUUCGUCGUUUAAUAAAAUGUGGUAUGUAAAUUUUCCAAAAACCACUCGUGUUUGCACACGGGUAUCACUACUAGUCUAUUAUCUAUUAUAUAUAAUAAACAAAAAAAAUUGGGACACUUGGCACAAUAUUAGGGCUUCCUAGAUGUGGUUUUGGCGGGAAACUGAAUGGGUAUUCUUUUCACAUAUAAUGAAGCCCUAUUUUCUAUCCGGAUCCGCUAAUUCGGAUCCGUAUAUAUAUGUUAUAAAAAAAAUUAAUAUUUCCAAUCUUCAUUUGCUGUCCGCCUCCAACCAUCCAAUUUCAAACCCUAAUUUCUCAUCGAGAACAACAAUCAAUCCCAAAAAUGUUGCGACACGCUGCUAAGAGAAUCACAAGGUCAGGAUUAGCCCCGACACGGUGGUCUGCACCGGCGGCGGACCUGUUUUAUCAUGAGAGGGUUGUGGACCACUACAAUAAUCCCCGUAAUGUUGGUGCGUUUGACAAGAACUAGGGUUAGAAUUAACGUCGCCGCCACUGUCUCUACCACAUCCGCUGAAGCAGAACCCUAGAGUUUGGUAGCAAAUGAAGAGUUUUCUCCAAAGGCUUGAGGAUGUACUAAUUAAUAAUCAUACGUUCGGAAGAGUUGAUGUGCAGGUUUUUUUUUCUUUUUCACUUUGCCUUUAUUCCAUCCAUUGAUUUCAUUGUAAUUUCAGUUCAAAGAUGAAAAGAAACUGUAGCGAAACAGAGUGAUGGUUCCUCAAGCCCUUUAGAUUUUUGAAUCAGGUUGGCUGCAGGAGCAGGCCUCCAUUGUUUCAAAAAGAGAAUGGAGCUCAAUGGGAAGUCGCCCUCUUUGUGCUGGUGGUGGAAUGUGGACUAUGACUUUUCCUAAGUCAAAAUCAGACAAAUAUUGGGCUUACAUGUUUGAUCAUGGAGAUGAGAUAUGCGAGGCAGUCGUUAUGUGAGGCCAAGAUUGCUGCAAAUAAUUAAAAGAAGUCAAUAAAGGAUGAAAGUUUCCAUUACGCUAUGAAGACCUUGACUACCAAUGCCAACUACAUAGUAGACAGCAAGAAUAAACAUGAGGCAUUGAUUUUGAUUGUUGAUCUUUCUUGGAUUUUGUGUAAUACUUAAACAUGGAGGUUCAAUUAGAGUAAACUAUGGUCAAACUGCUGGUGAGUCAUCUUGCACCCAGACCGGUCAAUGAGAAAUCGUAACUACCAGUAUUAAUGUUCACUAAUGUUCACAACUGGUAGUUAUUUGUUUGGUUUAAGUAUUUCAACAUUUUUGUCAUAAAAUUUAAUGAAAUAAUAUCUUACAUUUUAAUAAAAAUACAAGUUUUUUAACUGAUAAAAUUAAACUAUCCGGGAAGCAGUCCCGGGUGAUAACCUAGUUAAUUAUAAACCAACAAACGUUGAUGGAAGAAACUGCUAUUUUGGUCCCUGAGGUUUGGUCACUUUUGCCACUUUAGUCCAAAACUCAAA